rnacentral:rRNA from 1 species
UACGAAGGGGGCUAGCGUUGUUCGGAAUCACUGGGCGUAAAGGGCGCGUAGGCGGCCUGAUAAGUCGGGGGUGAAAGCCUGUGGCUCAACCACAGAAUUGCCUUCGAUACUGUCUGUCUUGAGUCCGGGAGAGGUGAGUGGAAUUCCUAGUGUAGAGGUGAAAUUCGUAGAUAUUAGGAAGAACACCAGUGGCGAAGGCGGCUCACUGGCCCGGAACUGACGCUCAUGUGCGAAAGCGUGGGGAGCAAACAGG